AUAAUCAAGGCACCCAAAUAUGGGUAUUUACCUACCACCGUAUAUCUACAUUCUAAGUAAGGAAAUCAUCUUAGGAGCUCCAAAAGUUUCUUUAUAAAUACCAUCCACUCACUAUAAGCUGAGAACCAACAAGCAGUCAACAUCAGAGUGAGAUUUAUUAGCUUAUAAGUAUUGUUGGAGAUUUACUGCAUCAUCAAUGGUGAUGAAAGUAGAUGCGCAACAGAAGGGGCACUGCCAGGUAAUGUUGUAUCCCGAUAACUGCGUGCCAAUAGCUUGUAACAGUCAGUGCGUCCAAAAGUUUAAAGGUGGAGAUGGAGAGUGUAUAGGGAUAAGUGUUGGACGUGAUGUACAUUACGGAUGUUCUUGUGUGUACCCAUGUUAGAAUCCAACCAAGUCUUUCUCUACAUGUAUGAUGGUGGUCUAUUCAUCAUAUGACCAUUAAAAGUCAUGCAUACAUGCAUAUCAAUAAAUAAAUUAUUAUUU